UUUCUUUAAAAUUUAAUUUCAUUUCAUCAACAGAUCAGAAUUACAAAGUUUCCAGUAGCCGCUGACUAGCUACUGUUACAAUCAGUCUAGAAGGAGAAACUCCCUUAUGAUGUAUAUACAUUAAAACAUGAGAAGCGUAUAAAGUUUCCUUUCAGAUUUCUAUGGAAAGUGAUUCAGUCUUCGAAACACUUCCUUCCAGUGUUUGACAGAGGUUCCCUGAAUGUGCUCAUGAAUCGCUAUCUCUUUACAUGUAUCCCUAACAAC
rnacentral:lncRNA from 1 species